GAUACUAGCUUGCUAGUAGGCGUCGAGUGGCGGACGGGUGAGUAACGCGUAGGAAUCUGCCUGAUAGUGGGGGAUAGCCCGGAGAAAUUCGGAUUAAUACCGCAUAAUCUAUUCGUAGUAAAGUGGGGGACUUUCGAGCCUCACGCUAUCAGAUGAGCCUGCGUAAGAUUAGCUUGUUGGUAGGGUAAAAGCCUACUAAGGCUACGAUCUUUAGCUGGUCUGAGAGGAUGAUCAGCCACAUCGGGACUGAGACACGGCCCGAACUCCUACGGGAGGCAGCAGUGGGGAAUAUUGGACAAUGGGGGCAACCCUGAUCCAGCAAUACCGCGUGUGUGAAGAAGGCCUGAGGGUUGUAAAGCACUUUCAAUUGUGAAGAAAAGUUAACGGUUAAUAACCGUUAGCCUUGACGUUAACUUUAGAAGAAGCACCGGCUAACUCCGUGCCAGCAGCCGCGGUAAUACGGAGGGUGCAAGCGUUAAUCGGAAUUACUGGGCGUAAAGCGUGCGUAGGUGGUUUAUUAAGUCAGAUGUGAAAGCCCCGGGCUUAACCUGGGAACUGCAUUUGAAACUGGUAAACUAGAGUAUGGUAGAGGAAAGUGGAAUUUCUGGUGUAGCGGUGAAAUGCGUAGAUAUCAGAAGGAACAUCAAUGGCGAAGGCAGCUUUCUGGACCAAUACUGACACUGAGGUACGAAAGCGUGGGUAGCAAACAGGAUUAGAUACCCUGGUAGUCCACGCCGUAAACGAUGAUAACUAGCCGUUGGGGGGAUUUACCCUUUAGUGGCGAAGCUAACGCGUUAAGUUAUCCGCCUGGG
rnacentral:rRNA from 1 species